CGUUAUUUCUUCGGGCAGCUAACAGGGUGGCAUACUUACUUAAAACGUAUGUUUUUAACGUGUGUGAAUAAGUUUUACUUGAUGUGCUGCGUGCAACAAUCAGAUCAUCCACCGUGUAUUACAUCAACUCAUGUACGAUGUACCUGGAAUGUUUGACCUAGUAGACAAAACCACAUACGAUUCGAACGAUACGAUAAGUAUAGUAAACGAACGUGACGGGGAGAUCUAUGGAUAAUUUCUUCAUCGGUGCGCGUUUGAAAUUUUGGGAAUGACCUAAUGUCUGGUACUUUCAACAGCACCACUUGGUGAUCCUCAACAUCAUCAUAGCGGAUGGACGGGCAGAUCAUAUGAUUUACCAUUGGAUGCCGAAGAUCGCGUAAUACAACUGUAAGCAACCAAAAAAUCGGUAA